rnacentral:tRNA from 1 species
GGGGCCGUAGCUCAAAGGUAGAGCGCUCGCCUGAAACGCGAGGCGUCGCAGGUUCGACUCCGCCGGCCACA